GACGAACGCUGGCGGCGUGCUUAACACAUGCGAGUCGAACGGAAAGGCCCUGCUUUUGUGGGGUGCUCGAGUGGCGAACGGGUGAGUAACACGUGAGUAACCUGCCCUUGACUUUGGGAUAACUUCAGGAAACUGGGGCUAAUACCGGAUAGGAGCUCCUGCUGCAUGGUGGGGGUUGGAAAGUUUCGGCGGUUGGGGAUGGACUCGCGGCUUAUCAGCUUGUUGGUGGGGUAGUGGCUUACCAAGGCUUUGACGGGUAGCCGGCCUGAGAGGGUGACCGGCCACAUUGGGACUGAGAUACGGCCGAGACUCCUACGGGAGGCAGCAGUGGGGAAUAUUGAACAAUGGGCGGAAGCCUGAUGCAGAAACGCCGCGUGCGGGAUGACGGCCUUCGGGUUGUAAACCGCUUUCGCCUGUGACGAAGCGUGAGUGACGGUAAUGGGUAAAGAAGCAACGGCUAACUACGUG
rnacentral:rRNA from 1 species